GACGAACCAUGCAAACGUUAUUCGGAAUUACUGGGCUUAAAGCGUGCGUAGGCGGCUCAGAAAGUUGGGUGUGAAAUCCCUCGGCUCAACCGAGGAAUUGCGCCCAAAACUACUGAGCUCGAGGGAGUUAGAGGUGAGCGGAACUCACGGUGGAGCGGUGAAAUGCGUAGAUAUCGGAAGGAACAUCAGUGGCGAAGGCGGCUACCUGGACAGAUACUGACGCUGAGGCGCGAGAGCGUGGGGAGCAAACAGG
rnacentral:rRNA from 1 species